GGUUAAGCGACUAAGCGUACACGGUGGAUGCCCUGGCAGUCAGAGGCGAUGAAGGGCGUGCUAAUCUGCGAUAAGCGCCGGUAAGGUGAUAUGAACCGUUAUAACCGGCGAUACCCGAAUGGGGAAACCCAGUGUGACUCGUCACACUAUCAUUAACUGAAUCCAUAGGUUAAUGAGGCGAACCGGGGGAACUGAAACAUCUAAGUACCCCGAGGAAAAGAAAUCAACCGAGAUUCCCCCCAGUAGCGGCGAGCGAACGGGGAGGAGCCCAGAGCCUGAAUCAGCAUGUGUGUUAGUGGAAGCGUCUGGAAAGGCGCGCGAUACAGGGUGACAGCCCCGUACACAAAAGCGCAUGUGCUGUGAGCUCGAUGAGUAGGGCGGGACACGUGGUAUCCUGUCUGAAUAUGGGGGAAAUUAUCCUCCAAGGCUAAAUACUCCUGACUGACCGAUAGUGAACCAGUACCGUGAGGGAAAGGCGAAAAGAACCCCGGCGAGGGGAGUGAAAAAGAACCUGAAACCGUGUACGUACAAGCAGUGGGAGCACAGGUUUACCUGUGUGACUGCGUACCUUUUGUAUAAUGGGUCAGCGACUUAUAUUCUGUAGCAAGGUUAACCGAAUAGGGGAGCCGGAGGGAAACCGAGUCUUAACCGGGCGUUAAGUUGCAGGGUAUAGACCCGAAACCCGGUGAUCUAGCCAUGGGCAGGUUGAAGGUUGGGUAACACUAACUGGAGGACCGAACCGACUAAUGUUGAAAAAUUAGCGGAUGACCUGUGGCUGGGGGUGAAAGGCCAAUCAAACCGGGAGAUAGCUGGUUCUCCCCGAAAGCUAUUUAGGUAGCGCCUCGUGAAUUCAUCUCCGGGGGUAGAGCACUGUUUCGGCUAGGGGGCCAUCCCGGCUUACCAACCCGAUGCAAACUGCGAAUACCGGAGAAUGUUAUCACGGGAGACACACGGCGGGUGCUAACGUCCGUCGUGAAGAGGGAAACAACCCAGACCGCCAGCUAAGGUCCCAAAGUCAUGGUUAAGUGGGAAACGAUGUGGGAAGGCCCAGACAGCCAGGAUGUUGGCUUAGAAGCAGCCAUCAUUUAAAAGAAAGCGUAAUAGCUCACUGGUCGAGUCGGCCUGCGCGGAAGAUGUAACGGGGCUAAACCAUGCACCGAAGCUGCGGCAGCGAACGUAUCACUUAAAGCGAUUCAGCGGGUUACGAUUGACGGAGCGAAGCGACGUCAAAGCGUAUACAAAGUCGAGUCGGUUUAAGGAUACGUUCGUUGGGUAGGGGAGCGUUCUGUAAGCCUGUGAAGGUGUGUCGUGAGGCAUGCUGGAGGUAUCAGAAGUGCGAAUGCUGACAUAAGUAACGAUAAAGCGGGUGAAAAGCCCGCUCGCCGGAAGACCAAGGGUUCCUGUCCAACGUUAAUCGGGGCAGGGUGAGUCGACCCCUAAGGCGAGGCCGAAAGGCGUAGUCGAUGGGAAACGGGUUAAUAUUCCCGUACUUGGUGUUACUGCGAAGGGGGGACGGAGAAGGCUAUGUUGGCCGGGCGACGGUUGUCCCGGUUUAAGCGUGUAGGCUGGUUUUCCAGGCAAAUCCGGAAAAUCAAGGCUGAGGCGUGAUGACGAGGCACUACGGUGCUGAAGCAACAAAUGCCCUGCUUCCAGGAAAAGCCUCUAAGCAUCAGGUAACAUCAAAUCGUACCCCAAACCGACACAGGUGGUCAGGUAGAGAAUACCAAGGCGCUUGAGAGAACUCGGGUGAAGGAACUAGGCAAAAUGGUGCCGUAACUUCGGGAGAAGGCACGCUGACACGUAGGUGAAGUGAUUUACUCAUGGAGCUGAAGUCAGUCGAAGAUACCAGCUGGCUGCAACUGUUUAUUAAAAACACAGCACUGUGCAAACACGAAAGUGGACGUAUACGGUGUGACGCCUGCCCGGUGCCGGAAGGUUAAUUGAUGGGGUCAGCGCAAGCGAAGCUCCUGAUCGAAGCCCCGGUAAACGGCGGCCGUAACUAUAACGGUCCUAAGGUAGCGAAAUUCCUUGUCGGGUAAGUUCCGACCUGCACGAAUGGCGUAAUGAUGGCCAGGCUGUCUCCACCCGAGACUCAGUGAAAUUGAACUCGCUGUGAAGAUGCAGUGUACCCGCGGCAAGACGGAAAGACCCCGUGAACCUUUACUAUAGCUUGACACUGAACAUUGAGCCUUGAUGUGUAGGAUAGGUGGGAGGCUUUGAAGCGUGGACGCCAGUCUGCGUGGAGCCGACCUUGAAAUACCACCCUUUAAUGUUUGAUGUUCUAACGUGGACCCGUGAUCCGGGUUGCGGACAGUGUCUGGUGGGUAGUUUGACUGGGGCGGUCUCCUCCUAAAGAGUAACGGAGGAGCACGAAGGUUGGCUAAUCCUGGUCGGACAUCAGGAGGUUAGUGCAAUGGCAUAAGCCAGCUUGACUGCGAGCGUGACGGCGCGAGCAGGUGCGAAAAGCAGGUCAUAGUGAUCCGGUGGUUCUGAAUGGAAGGGCCAUCGCUCAACGGAUAAAAGGUACUCCGGGGAUAACAGGCUGAUACCGCCCAAGAGUUCAUAUCGACGGCGGUGUUUGGCACCUCGAUGUCGGCUCAUCACAUCCUGGGGCUGAAGUAGGUCCCCAAGGGUAUGGCUGUUCGCCAUUUAAAGUGGUACGCGAGCUGGGUUUAGAACGUCGUGAGACAGUUCGGUCCCUAUCUGCCGUGGGCGCUGGAGAACUGAGGGGGGCUGCUCCUAGUACGAGAGGACCGGAGUGGACGCAUCACUGGUGUUCGGGUUGUCAUGCCAAUGGCACUGCCCGGUAGCUAAAUGCGGAAGAGAUAAGUGCUGAAAGCAUCUAAGCACGAAACUUGCCCCGAGAUGAGUUCUCCCUGAGACUUAAAGUCUCCUGAAGGAACGUUGAAGACGACGACGUUGAUAGGCCGGGUGUGUAAGCGCAGCGAUGCGUUGAGCUAACCGGUACUAAUGAACCGUGAGGCUUAACCUU
rnacentral:rRNA from 1 species